rnacentral:rRNA from 1 species
AUUGAACGCUGGCGGCAGGCCUAACACAUGCAAGUCGAGCGGAUGAAGAGAGCUUGCUCUCUGAUUUAGCGGCGGACGGGUGAGUAAUGCCUAGGAAUCUGCCUGGUAGUGGGGGAUAACGUUCCGAAAGGAACGCUAAUACCGCAUACGUCCUACGGGAGAAAGCAGGGGACCUUCGGGCCUUGCGCUAUCAGAUGAGGCUAGGUCGGAUUAGCUAGUUGGUGAGGUAAUGGCUCACCAAGGCGACGAUCCGUAACUGGUCUGAGAGGAUGAUCAGUCACACUGGAACUGAGACACGGUCCAGACUCCUACGGGAGGCAGCAGUGGGGAAUAUUGGACAAUGGGCGAAAGCCUGAUCCAGCCAUGCCGCGUGUGUGAAGAAGGUCUUCGGAUUGUAAAGCACUUUAAGUUGGGAGGAAGGGCAGUAAGUUAAUACCUUGCUGUUUUGACGUUACCGACAGAAUAAGCACCGGCUAACUUCGUGCCAGCCGCCGCAGUAAGAC